AGGGCACCACCAGGAGUGGAGCCUGCGGCUUAAUUUGACUCAACACGGGAAAACUCACCCGGCCCGGACACUGGAAGGAUUGACAGAUUGAGAGCUCUUUCUUGAUUCAGUGGGUGGUGGUGCAUGGCCGUUCUUAGUUGGUGGAGUGAUUUGUCUGGUUAAUUCCGAUAACGAACGAGACUCUAGCCUACUAAAUAGAUCGUCGGCUUACAAACGCCGGCGAGACUUCUUAGAGGGACAGGCGGUGAUUCAACCGCACGAAACAGAGCAAUAACAGGUCUGUGAUGCCCUUAGAUGUCCGGGGCCGCACGCGCGCUACACUGAAGUGAUCAGCGUGCUUUUUCAACCUACUCUGUCAAGAGUGGGGAACCCAAUGAACCUUCUUCGUGAUUGGGAUAGGGGAUUGUAAUUGUCCCCCUUGAACGAGGAAUUCCCAGUAAGCGCGAGUCAUAAGCUCGCGUUGAUUACGUCCCUGCCCUUUGCACACACCGCCCGUCGCUACUACCGAUUGAAUGUUUU
rnacentral:rRNA from 1 species